GACGAACGCUGGCGGCGUGCUUAACACAUGCAAGUCGAACGGAAAGGCUCCAGCUUGCUGGAGUACUCGAGUGGCGAACGGGUGAGUAACACGUGGGUAAUCUGCCCUGCACUCUGGGAUAAGCCUGGGAAACUGGGUCUAAUACUGGAUAUGACCUUUCUCCUUAUGGGGUUUGGUGGAAAGUUUUUCGGUGUAGGAUGAGCCCGCGGCCUAUCAGCUUGUUGGUGGGGUGAUGGCCUACCAAGGCGACGACGGGUAGCCGGCCUGAGAGGGUGAUCGGCCACAUUGGGACUGAGAUACGGCCCAGACUCCUACGGGAGGCAGCAGUGGGGAAUAUUGCACAAUGGGCGGAAGCCUGAUGCAGCGACGCCGCGUGGGGGAUGACGGCCUUCGGGUUGUAAACCUCUUUCAGCAGGGACGAAGCGUAAGUGACGGUACCUGCAGAAGAAGCACCGGCUAACUACGU
rnacentral:rRNA from 1 species